rnacentral:tRNA from 1 species
GGGAAUGUGGCUUAGUGGUAGAGUGCUUGCUUAGCAUGCAUUAACUGGGUUCAAUUCCCCAGUACCA